rnacentral:miRNA from 1 species
ACUCUCACCGGCCGGGAGGAAUCCCUCUCCACCGUUGAGAGUGUAUACUCUCAGCUGCCGAGAGGGAAUCCUCCUGGCUGCUGAGAGUGUAUAGCUCUCAGCGGCCAAGAGGGAUUCCUCCCAGUCGGUGAGAGU